rnacentral:rRNA from 1 species
GACAGAGGUCCCGAGCGUUAGGCGGAAUCACUGGGCUUAAAGCGUGUGUAGGCGGACUUCUAAGUACCUUGUGAAAUCCCACGGCUUAACCGUGGAACUGCUGGGUAUACUGGUUGUCUUGGGCCAUCUAGGGGCUACUGGAACAAACGGUGGAGCGGUGAAAUGCGUAGAUAUCUAGAGGAACGCCUGAGGCGAAAGCGGGGCACUGGGCCGAUUCUGACGCUGAGACACGAAAGCGUGGGGAGCAAACGGG